rfam:Camelus ferus unplaced genomic scaffold scaffold1251, whole genome shotgun sequence.
GAAGGUAUAGCUCAAGUGGUAGAGCACAUGCUUAGCAUGCAUGAGGUUCUGGGUUCAAUACCCAGUACCUCCU